GAAAAGUGAAAAAAAAGAGAGUUGAGUAGAAUGAUUCCCGCUUAGGGUGCGAGAGGUUCCUAGUUCGUUCGUGGAAUGCAGUUUUCGUUUUUUUUUCACGAUUUGGAAGAUGACAGGCUUGACUUGGUAAAAGCUAUAGUCAAAUACCAACCAACUAACACCAGAAAACCAGGAGAAGAUGUUAAUCAAUCUUAACAAUCUGGCUGCAUUAUAGCAUCCACAGUUAAUCCCAAAGACUGCUUGCCAUGCCAUGAUACACUUAGCAGUUGAUUGACAUCUGUAUCUCUCUGUUAGUUUGCAGUCUUUGCAGCUGAGAACCAAGACAGGUUGGCAUGAAGCACCAAAAAGCUGCUUUGGUUUCUGUAUCUCUCCCACAAGUUUUCAAGCAACAGUCCCGACACCAAGAUGCUGGUUUGUGAUCUUGUGUCUAUGUAUGACAUUUGAACCUGCAUUCUAGAAUGAAGUAAUAUUGCUAAAUUAACUAUUGCUAUUUUAAAUUUAAUAAGGAAGAAGGUUGUGAAUUGUUUCCAUGGUGCCUGCCACCCAAAACUAUAAUAUAGUUGUCUUUUUUUAAGUAAUAAAACCCAUUAGAAAUUAUCAAGUAUCUUAUUUUCUAGUUUAUAACACUCAGAUUGAAUAUUUGAUGUUCUACAUAUAGAUUCACAUGCUGUUUGAUUUUAUUCAAGCUAGUCAGACAGGAAAAUGAAAACUAGUAUGAUACCACAGUAGUUACUAUGGUUCAGUCUGAUGCAACAUACAAAUUGAAUCGUAUUGCAAAACUUCAGUUCUUAGUGUAUAUAUAAGCCAAUCAGCAACCGUAACAAAGUUGGUGGACAUUUUACGAGAGAUCAAGAAACAACAAAUUCUCUAUUGCUGAUGGAUUUCAACUCCCUGCUCUUGGGAAACCACAUUACAAAUACAAGUAAUGUUUCAACUUGUGGUAAGAAAAGGAGUGCGACUAAAUUUGAGUGAUAUCAUGUGGUAUAAGUCAGAUGUAAGCGAAGUUUUAACCUCUGAAUCCGCCCUAAACAAUAUUGCCAAGUCAAUUUAUUAGUUUUUAUUAG